rnacentral:ribozyme from 13 species
CCUUCAACAAGAGAGGGAGAAGAGAAGAAGAAGAUCGGAAGAGAGGAGUGAAGCGAAGCAUUCUUUUUUCUCUCGAAAAGUUCUUUUUGUUUUUCUUCCUUUUGAAGUGGUUUGUUUUUUCUGGCUUUUUAGCUGUUUCUUUUUCAACAA